UGGGAGAUCGUCUAACGGCAGGACAGUGGCCUUUGAAGCCAUUAAUCUUGGUUCGAUUCCACGUCUCCCAGCCA
rnacentral:tRNA from 1 species